ACUCUCCCGAGUCCCUUUAAUAAUCAGUUGGCAGCCUGGCUGCCUGCCUGUGUCUGUUCGACCUGUUGUUGCCAAUAACCUUCCUCAACCGCGAUAUCGUGUUUGCAAUUUAUUCCUCUUGCCAGACCAUGCAGACUACCUCCUGUGAGAAAAGUAUAGACCACUUGUAGGUGUGUUCACUAUCUUAGAAAAACAGUGUUUUGGUUUGAGGUAACGCAGUUGAUCACUCCUUGAACGGGUCUGUUUUACCAGAAGAUAAACACCACCCUCCAUUUGUCUAUUAACAUUCGGCCAACUGCAAUAUCUGGCAUUCAAGAAGGUACGCGCAGCCAAUAUAAAGGCACUGUUUUCAACAAAGGCUGAGUUAGAGGCAAGUGCUGAGUCAUGGCGAGUGUUACAACACGCACUGUGUUGAUAACGGGAGCUAACAGAGGCCUGGGCUUGGAAAUGGUUAAACAAAUGGUUGAAGGUCCCUCGCCCUUGCCAUAUUUGUUUGCCUGUUGCAGAGAACCGGAUGGACCCAGAGGAAAGGAAUUGCAAGCACUGGCCAAGAGCCACCCUGAUGCGAUCACCGUCAUUCAACUAGAUGUCGCCGACCUCUGCAGCAUAAAAAAGUGUGCGGAGAGGGUAGGCUCCCUGGUGGGGCCAGGGGGCCUCAACCUGUUGAUCAACAAUGCAGCGGUUCUUUUCCAUGGCACUUUUCAGAGCACCAGUCCAGAGGACAUGCUAACUACCUUCAACACCAACGUCAUUGGCCCAAUGAGCCUCACUAAAGUGAGGGCAGGAGGGAGGAAGUUCUUACGGCUGUAUUUCUACAUAGUGAUGGAGCUCCUCCCUCACCUACGAGCAGCAGCUUUGGCCAGCAGGACACCAGGGAUGUCUUGCAGUAAAGCAGUCGUGGUCAACCUCUCUAGCAUGGCUGGAAGCAUGACCGGUACUCCUGAAAGCUACAGCAGGUUCCCUGUGAUGUCGUACCGCAUCAGCAAGGCGGCUUUGAACAUGCUGACCAUCUGCUCUGCCUUAGAGUUCCAGAAGGAUAAUAUCUUGUCUGUUCUCCUGCACCCUGGCUGGGUGAGAACCGACAUGGGCGGAAAAGAGUGACAUAGCUCAUCGCAUUGCUCCAGGCCAGUGGACAGUCAAGUUUGGUAGAGACAUCAAGGGUUUUCAUCACCAAACCACUGGAAAUAAUUGUGGUAUCUACACAUACUUAUGAAUGCACUCAGCCUGAGCACAGAUGCUCCAUUUUGGUGUACUGAGCCAAGGACAGAGGUUUGGAUACUGGACAAAUGAGGCCACAGCAUUGCUCCAAGGAUCAUUGCAGCCGAUCUACAGGAUCCCAAAGAGCAGUAAAAGGAAUCAUGAGGCGGAUGAUGUUUUCCUGAAGGACACAAUUGAGGCAGCAGCAUGGUGCCAGUUGCAGUCCUUCACCGACCACGUUUCUCUCCCGAUGGUCAUUGGGAUGGAAGGUGCAGAGCAGCAGGCAGCAUUAGCAGAGCUGAAAUCCGUUGACCGCAGUUGCCCGGAAGAAAGCCCAAACAGGAUUGAACCGUUCCAGUUCGUCUUCAAUUCAAAGAAGGACUACGAAAUGUUCUGUGUGGAGAUGUUUGACCGGAGAAAGCUGAAAGUGUUUGCUUCUUGGGAGUAGCGACAUUUGACCUAUUGUUUUAAUUUUUUUUUGUUAUUUUUAAAUUAUUCUGUUGAAUAAAAAGACUCCUGAGAUUGGUGUAACUUAA